UCCCACCUGACCCCAUGCCGAACUCAGAAGUGAAACGCCGUAGCGCCGAUGGUAGUGUGGGGUCUCCCCAUGCGAGAGUAGGACACUGCCAAGC
rnacentral:rRNA from 2 species